GUCCACGGCUGUCGAACUGAGUAUGGUAUAAAAUGCCUUAGAAAUCAGAACACUGCGUCACACACGACUACGAAACAGUUAUGAAUUGGUUUUUGUUUAUUUGUCUGAUCGUCGCCGUACUCUACCCAAUAUUGGGUGAGCAGGUAGACCAAAUGGGGUAUGAUUUUACGAGCAAAUACGCUGAAUUAGCUGCGCCUGCCCCGGCUAAUGUGAACGUGGAUGAACUUGUGGCGAGUCUACGAGCCGCCAGCAAUUUCCCCUAAGCCAACAUAACGAAAACAAAAACAUCCUGUAUACCAUCGCUCGAAACAACGUAUUAUUGAAUCGUUAUAUCCCACUAUAGCGCGACAAACUUUUAUGGCCCGGUAAGCUGUGGUCGCGAUUAGUUCUAUUAGAAAACAUAUAAAACCUACUUGGGUACAAAUGACACACAAGUCAAAACGGUACAAGGAUCAGGUGACACUUUAUUCUAAUUAACAAGAGGGUGUUGAGGAGCCAUUGUAAUUUAGUGUCACUCUACCGGGUCACAUAAGUUUGUCGAUCUAUGUAUGAAGAUCAAAAGAGACGGUUAAGAUCUUGUUUGUGGAAUUUCUUUGGAAGUGAAGGCUUUAUUUUUUUUAGGUAAUUUAUUAAAGUAUUGAAGCGUGCUGUUGCCAGAUA